GGUGGGAUGGCCGAGUGGUCAAAGGCAACAGACUGUAAAUCUGUCGACGGACGUCUACGUAGGUUCAAAUCCUACUCCCACCACCA
rnacentral:tRNA from 1 species